UCGAAGCUUGCUGAGAUUCAAAAGCCACUGGUAGCCAUUCUUAUUCAUUCUCUUGGCCCCUCUCUAUUGGGAGAUCUUUUCUUCCAGGCCUCUCGGGUUGCCCCGCGCGACGACAAGCAAGAGACUUAAUUUGUAAAUACCUAUGACAUCACAGACAUAGGUCGAGAAGAAUGUUUUCAGCAAAACAUGCGCUUGAAAGAGUGGAAUAUUAGGAGGGGAAUCAUACCAAGAAGUUAUUACAGAAAGAUCUUAAACUCUGUCCGUGGGAGUCAUACUUGGAGUAUUGGUUUCCUUAAAUGGUGUUUGUUGGCAACAUUUUUAUGAGCAAUGACAUGUGCCCCAUGCUUAGUGCCAUCUAUGAAUUAGGAAGUGGACCCUCAUCAGCCACCAUAUCACAUCUGCCAGCAUCAUGAUCUUGCACUUCCAGCCUCCAGAACUGUGAGAAAUAAAUGUUGUUUAUAAGCCA